AUUGAACGCUGGCGGCAGGCCUAACACAUGCAAGUCGAGCGGAUGAAGGGAGCUUGCUCCUGGAUUCAGCGGCGGACGGGUGGGUAAUGCCUAGGAAUCUGCCUGGUAGUGGGGGAUAACGUCCGGAAACGGGCGCUAAUACCGCAUACGUCCUGAGGGAGAAAGUGGGGGAUCUUCGGACCUCACGCUAUCAGAUGAGCCUAGGUCGGAUUUGCUAGUUGGUGGGGUAAAGGCCUACCAAGGCGACGAUCCGUAACUGGUCUGAGAGGAUGAUCAGUCACACUGGAACUGAGACACGGUCCAGACCCCUACGGGAGGCAGCAGUGGGGAAUAUUGGACAAUGGGCGAAAGCCUGAUCCAGCCAUGCCGCGUGUGUGAAGAAGGUCUUCGGAUUGUAAAGCACUUUAAGUUGGGAGGAAGGGCAGUAAGUUAAUACCUUGCUGUUUUGACGUUACCAACAGAAUAAGCACCGGCUAACUUCGUG
rnacentral:rRNA from 1 species